UGAGUAAAUUGAGUGAUCGCGGGCAGAGUACCGAAAGGUCCUGUCUGAGGAAAGUCCGAGCUCCAUAGGGCAGGGUGCUGGCUAACGGCCAGUGAGGGUGACCUCAAGGAUAGUGCCACAGACAUGUAGACCGCCUAAGACGGCUUUGGCCGGACGGCAAGGAUGGAACGGUGCGGUAAGAGCGCACCAGCAGCCAGGUGACUGGCUGGCUAGGUAAACCCCACCCGGUGCAAGACCGAAUAGGGGAGCAAUGGGGCGGCCCGUCCCGCUCCCGGGUUAGGUUGCUAGAGGUGCUAGGUAACUGGCAUCCCAGAUAGAUGAUCACUUUUAACAGAACUCGGCUUAUAGAUUUGCUCAGUUG
rnacentral:RNase_P_RNA from 1 species